AGGACGAACGCUGGCGGCGUGCCUAACACAUGCAAGUCGAACGGAGUUACCAAGUAGUUACUAUGAGGUAACUAGUGGCGGACGGGUGAGUAACGCGUGGGCAACCUGCCUUUUACAGGGGGAUAACACAGGGAAACUUGUGCUAAUACCGCAUAACAUCCAGAGAGGACAUCCUUUUUGGAUCAAAGGAGCAAUCCGGUAGAAGAUGGGCCCGCGUCCGAUUAGCUGGUUGGUGAUGUAACGGACCACCAAGGCGACGAUCGGUAGCCGAACUGAGAGGUUGAUCGGCCACAUUGGGACUGAGUCACGGCCCAGACUCCUACGGGAGGCAGCAGUGGGGAAUAUUGCACAAUGGGGGAAACCCUGAAUGCAGCAACGCCGCGUGAAGGAUGAAGGUUUUCGGAUUGUAAACUUCUUUAGUCGGGGACGAAGAAAUGACGGUACCCGAAGAAUAAGCCACGGCUAACUACGUGCCAGCAGCAGC
rnacentral:rRNA from 1 species